GGUGCCGAACUCCUGGCCUCAAGUGAUCCCCCCUGCCUGGCCUCCCAAAGCGCUGGGAUUACAGCCGACGUGAGCCUGCACUUCGUGCUCUGGGGCUGCCUGCACGUGUACCAGCGCAUGAUCGACAAGGCGGAGGACGUGUGCCUGUUCGUAGCGCAGCCGGGGGAACUGGUGGGGCAGCUGGCGGUGCUCACUGGCGAACCUCUCAUCUUCACACUGCGAGCCCAACGCGACUGCACCUUCCUGCGGAUCUCCAAGUCCGACUUCUAUGAGAUCAUGCGCGCACAGCCCAGUGUGGUGCUGAGUGCGGCGCACACGGUGGCAGCCAGGAUGUCGCCCUUCGUGCGCCAGAUGGACUUCGCCAUCGACUGGACUGCAGUGGAGGCGGGACGCGCGCUGUACAGGCAGGGCGACCGCUCCGACUGCACUUACAUCGUGCUCAAUGGGCGGCUGCGUAGCGUGAUCCAGCGAGGCAGUGGCAAGAAGGAGCUGGUGGGCGAGUACGGCCGCGGCGACCUCAUCGGCGUGGUGGAGGCACUGACCCGGCAGCCGCGAGCCACGACGG
rnacentral:sRNA from 1 species